rfam:Ovis aries breed Texel chromosome 13, whole genome shotgun sequence.
UCCCUGGUGGCUCAGAUGGUAAGGCGUCUGCCCAUAAUGCGGGAGACCCAGGUUCAAUCCCUGGAUUGGGAA